GCUCGAGUGGUGAAAUUGGUAAACACGCCAGACUUAGGAUCUGGUGCCUAACGGCUUGAGGGUUCGAGUCCCUCCUCGAGCACCA
rnacentral:tRNA from 1 species